GUGUAGGAAUGGAUCAGUUUUUUUUCAUGUGAGCGCUUCCCGGAGCAAGGGAAUUGGGCAGGCAGUCAGAGGGAGGCCUGGGAAUACGAAAGAGUUAAGGAACGAGCCAGGGAGCCGAGCCCUAAGCAGUACAAAACCACGUGGGGUACGGAGUAACAUGAAAUGGCGGCUCCCCAGGGUGGAACACGGACUACGACAAAAUGGCGCCUCCCUAUGUAGGUAGGUGGGAGGGAGUUCCGGUUCUGGCCCCACCUACUUCCGGGCUCUAGCCAAUUGGCAGCAGGUCCAGUCCUUCACCCGCGGCACUUUUUCCAUCCCGGCACGCAUUGUGCGCAGCGCUGGCAGCUGGUGACCGGGCGGCGUGGCUGGGCAGAGGCGGGGGUCCGUGGAGCAGCUGCAGGCGCAGCAGCGUCGGCUCUGCAUGCCAGAGUUGUCAGUAUUUGCCCGGUCAAUUGCUUUUCUUUUCAGGAGGAUACACUGGACCUGCUGACUUAAAUAGAGAUAUGAGUGAGAUCAAAGGCAGAAGAGCUCUCAGUUGGCUGUACCUCUAGGGACAUGCAAGAAUUCUUUGCAAAUAUGCCAGGUAGAUAGCAACAAAGCGAUGUUGAAAAGUCCAGUGGUGGUCAAAAAGACUUCAGGGCUUUGUGGAGAUGGAUAAAAGGAUCAAGAGGGCAGAUAGUGCUCCCUUCUACCCUUCAAGUUGAGGGAAACGGUAUUGAAAGAAACAGGUGAGCUUUCAAUAUGGUUUGAAGGGAUACAUUGAGAAAAUCAGGUUUACAACUGAUGACAAUAGAAUGGCAUGUCAUGUUUGACAGCAAGCUAGUGAAGAUUUUACUGAGUACUUUGGAGAACUCUUGAAGUGUUUGUAUAUCAAAACAUGCAGUAUGAAAAAUAAAUAAGAGGAGUUAAAAGCCUUA